rnacentral:rRNA from 1 species
GACGAACGCUGGCGGCGUGCUUAACACAUGCAAGUCGAACGGAAAGGCCCUGCUUUUGUGGGGUGCUCGAGUGGCGAACGGGUGAGUAACACGUGAGUAACCUGCCCUUGACUAUGGGAUAACUUCAGGAAACUGGGGCUAAUACCGGAUAGGAGCUCCUGCUGCAUGGUGGGGGUUGGAAAGUUUCGGCGGUUGGGGAUGGACUCGCGGCUUAUCAGCUUGUUGGUGGGGUAGUGGCUUACCAAGGCUUUGACGGGUAGCCGGCCUGAGAGGGUGACCGGCCACAUUGGGACUGGGAUGCGGCCCAGACUCCUACGGGAGGCAGCAGUGGGGAAUAUUGCACAAUGGGCGGAAGCCUGAUGCAGCAACGCCGCGUGCGGGAUGACGGCCUUCGGGUUGUAAACCGCUUUCGCCUGUGACGAAGCGUGAGUGACGGUAAUGGGUAAAGAAGCACCGGCUAACUACGUG